GAUGAAGAACGUAGUGAAAUGCGAUAAUUAAUGUGAAUUGCAGAAUUCAGUGAAUCAUCGAAUCUUUGAACGCACAUUGCGCCCCCUGGAAUUCCGGGGGGCAUGCCUGUUCGAGCGUCUCAGGGACGAACCCUCGCGCGGGUGUACGCGCGGUCGUGGCUGCGGUGGCGUGCCCGAGGCGGCGGCCACCGCGCUGGAAUCCAUGGGCGGACGCCUGCCGCGUGGCCGAGCGUGAUAUGACGCAUUGGCGCUCGCACGCGGAGAGGCUGCCAGCCCUGGCCCGUCUGUCGGGCGGGGGAGAGCAAGACACGUGAACUCCUCGAAUCAGGUAGGGAUACCCGCUGAACUUAAGCAUAUCAAUAAGCGGAGGA
rnacentral:misc_RNA from 1 species